rnacentral:rRNA from 1 species
GACGAACGCUGGCGGCGUGCCUAAUACAUGCAAGUCGAACGCAUUUUCUUUCACCGUAGCUUGCUACACCGAAAGAAAAUGAGUGGCGAACGGGUGAGUAACACGUGGGUAACCUGCCCAUCAGCGGGGGAUAACACUUGGAAACAGGUGCUAAUACCGCAUAAUUCCAUUUACCGCAUGGUAGAUGGGUGAAAGGCGCUUUUGCGUCACUGAUGGAUGGACCCGCGGUGCAUUAGCUAGUUGGUGGGGUAACGGCCUACCAAGGCUGCGAUACAUAGCCGACCUGAGAGGGUGAUCGGCCACACUGGGACUGAGACACGGCCCAGACUCCUACGGGAGGCAGCAGUAGGGAAUCUUCGGCAAUGGACGCAAGUCUGACCGAGCAACGCCGCGUGAGUGAAGAAGGUUUUCGGAUCGUAAAACUCUGUUGUUAGAGAAGAACAAGGAUGAGAGUGGAAAGUUCAUCCCUUGACGGUAUCUAACCAGAAAGCCACGGCUAACUACGUG